rnacentral:rRNA from 1 species
UACGUAGGUGGCAAGCGUUGUCCGGAUUUAUUGGGUUUAAAGGGUGCGUAGGCGGUUUUUUAAGUCAGUGCUGAAAUACUCCAGCUUAACUGGAGGGGUGGCAUUGAUACUGGAAGACUUGAGUACAGAUGAGGUAGGCGGAAUUGACGGUGUAGCGGUGAAAUGCAUAGAGAUCCGGAAGAACACCGGUGGCGAAGGCGGCCUGCUGGGCAGUAGCUGACGCUGAGGCGCGACAGCGUGGGGAGCAAACAGG